rnacentral:rRNA from 1 species
UACGUAGGGUCCAAGCGUUAUCCGGAAUCACUGGGCGUAAAGCGUGCGUAGGCGGGUAUUUAAGUGAGAUGUGAAAGCGUGUGGCUCAACCAUAUCGUUGUGUCUCAUACUGGGUACCUAGAGGAAGGCAGAGGCAAGUGGAAUUGGCAGUGUAGCAGUGAAAUGCGUAGAGAUUGCCAGGAACACCAAUGGCGAAGGCAGCUUGCUGGGCCUUUUCUGACGCUGAGGUACGAAAGCGUGGGGAGCGAACAGG